UCAGUGCAUCUUUUUUUUUCUUGAUUUUAUCAUUUGAUUUUGAUUCUUCCAAAGAAAAAUAUUCAAUUUGAAAUCAGAAUCUUCAAUCGGUUUUUUUAAGCAAUUGUUAUCUGUUGAAAUUUGUUUGUUUUUUUUCUCAUUGUUAUAUCCAUUGUUUUGUCCACAUGUGUGUCUCACAUUAUUUUUUUUUCCCACACAAGAAUAAAAUCAUAUCUCAUCAAUCGAACUUUUUAUAAAAUUUUGGGACAUUUUGAUACUCAGUUUUUCUUGAUUUAAUAAAUGAUGAUGAUGAUGAUGAUUAUCACCAGAUCAACCGACAAAUGAUAAUUUAAUAUAUACCUCUCUCUCUCUCUCGCUGUUGUUGUUGUUCUUUUCUGCCCUUUUUAAUAUUAUCCUGUUUUGUUUUUUUUUUUUUUGAUUUUACAAACAAUACACACACACUGAAUCAUAAUUCUUGACAAAAACGAACCACACACAAAAAAAAUAAAUCUUCAAAACAUUACAAAAAUCAACUAAAACGAAACGAUUCUACAAAAUCAAAUCAAUUUUGUUCGAUCAUGAAAAUGGCAUUUACGAAACAAAAACGUGGUUGAUUCUAUCUCUCGUUUGCUCACAAGAAAAACGAUAAAAACAAUAUCACUUUUUAUCCAUUGUUUCUUCAUCUGUCUGUUAUUUAUAUUUCAUCAUCAUCAUCAUCAUUGC